UCCCUGGUGGUCCAGUGGCUAAGACUCCACACUGCCAAUGCUGAGGGCCUAGGCUUGAUUCCUGGUCAGGGAA
rnacentral:tRNA from 1 species